AAUAUUGGUCAAUGGACGCAAGUCUGAACCAGCCAUGCCGCGUGAAGGAUGAAGGUCCUCUGGAUUGUAAACUUCUUUUAUCUGGGACGAAAACGGGAUUUUUAUCUCAAUUGACGGUACCAGAGGAAUAAGCACCGGCUAACUCCGUGCCAGCAGCCGCGGUAAUACGGAGGGUGCGAGCGUUAUCCGGAUUUACUGGGUUUAAAGGGUGCGUAGGUGGGCUUAUAAGUCAGUGGUGAAAUCUCCGAGCUUAACUUGGAAACUUCCGUUGAUACUAUAGGUCUUGAAUUAUCUGGAGGUAAGCGGAAUAUGUCAUGUAGCGGUGAAAUGCUUAGAUAUGACAUAGAACACCGAUUGCGAAGGCAGCUUACUACAUAUAAAUUGACGCUGAGGCACGAAAGCGU
rnacentral:rRNA from 1 species